GCAGGCAGAACUCAGGUGGCUGGCAGAGAUCACCCACGUGGUGGUAGGGCUCGGGUGGCUUUGGGUGGAAAGAUUUAUCGUACCAGAGGGUUUUAAUAUUAAAGGCAUGGUCUUGAGGACUCUAGACUCUAGACUAGGACAGGAAAGCUAUAAUCUACAAACUGCAUAUGAGACUCUGCUUCUUUGUAAAUAAAGUUUUACUGGAAGAAAGUAAUGCCCAUUCACUCUUAUACUGUGCCUUGAUGCUUUUGCACUACAUAACGAUCAUACAUAGCCAUGAAGCUGAAGUGAUUACUAUCUGAUCCUUUAAUGAAAGUGUUUGUCAAUCCUUAUGCUGCAUUAUGUGUGUUUUCAUGGAUUUUGGAGUGUUUUAUUUGAACUAGGCAAAAUUGUCUACCCUUUAGCUUUACUUUCUCAAAAGGCAAUUAUGCUUCAUUACAAGAACAAGAAUUUUUGGGAAAAUACAAAUUUGAUUCAAAUAGGGAUCAAGCUCCUCUGUAUUAGGCAAUCAAGUGGCCAAAGAUUGAUUAAUCAUAGCUACAUGUGACAUGACACAGUAUGAGGUCCAUAAGCAAGUUUAAUUAUUUCAUGACCACUAAGGAGCCAGUACUGCUAUGCUUGUAAUUUGCUGUCUUCAUGGUGUAGAAGUUACUUCUCAUAGUAUCAGGAAGGUUGCAAUAAUUACAGAUGUUAAUGUAAACAAACAGAUAGAUAUGUAGCAAUAGAGUAUGCUGGUUAUUUCUCUCUUUAGCCUCUUGAUUGGGGAUGAAAAAAAUCUUGUAGUUCAUAGCUUCUAACUCCUGACAUUUCAUUGGCUAGAUUGUCCUGGGUUCAUACCAGUGUCUGGUAAGGAGUAUGGAUUUACUGUGUUUGAUUUAGAAUGACACUACUACUUGAUCUCUAGAAUUCAUAGCUGUGAAGACUGAGUGCCUAAUAGAAGUCAGUGUUCUGCCCUGAAGAGCAGCCAGGAAAGACAAGGUGUUCAUCAAGGGACAAGAUCCCCAUAUAAUAGAAAUGAUUUCAUGUCUGUUUUAAGAUACACAGGGAAUACAUAUGAAACAUGGCAGUCAGAAGACUCAGAACUGGGGUGAAUCUGCCUCCCAGGAUGUGGGUUGUUGAUGGUAGGAUAUGGUUGAUGACAUGGCUGUUGUUUUAUUCUAUUGCUCUUACAGUGGGUUGAGUAAUUCAUUCCCACAUGUUGAUAAAUGCUCUCAAGGCAACAUGUACAAUACAUUUGUCCUCUCUUGUGAGUCAUCUUCCCAAACAGCUGUCCACUGAGAUCGAAGAAACCACAAUUGUUUGAGCAUGAACUUGUUUCAAUUGAGUUUUGCAAGUAAGGGCUUGAUUCUGUGUUAGGCUUACCUGGGUUUCCAAACAGGUUCCUCCAAAAGCAUCCCUAGUUAUUUGCCUUCUUUACCUUCUAGCUAGAAACCACCACUUCUCUGAUAGUCUCCUUCAGGGCCUAUUAUUUUGCUUUGCAAAGGAUGCCUCAUUGAGAAAAAUUAUAUUUGUUUCUUUAAUCUUGUAUGUAUGUCUUUUAUAUGUAAAGGGCCUAGUGCCUGGCCCUUGAUGGGGUUUAAAGCCUAGUUCUCAAGAGGCUGUUCCAGUUUUUGGGUUAAUGGCAGUUUUUUUGUGACAUCUGUGAAAUUCCUGUAGAAAGAAACACCCAAGGUCUGGAGAGUGCAACUGGGUAAGGACCAGAGAGGGUGGACUGAAUCUAGCCAUACUAGAUAAACUUAACUACUACCCAAGCUUCGGAUUUACUUUUCUGUUUAGCAGCAAUUUUUAUUAUGAUUGGGAAGUGAUUGACAUCCUGUAUUUCGUGAAAAAAAAAAGAAAAAACCUAGUUCAGGCCAGGUCAUUUCGGUUUCAAGACAGCCACUUGAGUAGGAUUGACUAUUGCAAAGCAUAGAACUUAGCUUUGACUCUCUGAGGAACUGUAUGAUUCUGAGUCUACGAAACUACAUGACUCCUUUCCUGACUGUAGCCAGCAUCAUAUCCUUUUAUUCUUUCUGCUGUGAGAACACCUUCCAUGUGUUUAAGUGUGAUAGCACACUAGGGAACAAAUGAAUAAGAUAUUUAUUGAUGCAACUUGUAUGAACUCAGUGUAUAGGCCCAGUCCUCAUCCUUAGGAUCUAGUCUUGUGAGGCUAACUGACCUCCAAGAAAGCAGCAGAAACAAUAAGAGGAGACUUAAAGGAUACAGAAGUGUUCUCUAUGGGAAGACAGGACCCUAAAUGCCAGAUUGGGCUUAGAGUGUGUGACUUUGAGCCACUUAGUAAGCAUCUAUGAGUCUCACUAUGCUUAUGUGUAAAGUAGGGAUACCAUUUAGAGUACUUAGCAUGGAAUUACAGGGAGUGCAGAGGGAAGCAAUGGCUCUAGUGUAAUAUUUGAUGCAUGUGAGUCUUAAGUAAGUAUUACCUAUUGCUAUCUACCACAAAAAGGGUAAGCCUUGUUAGGGAACAGCAUUAGGCUUCUGCAUAGAUGUGGCAAACAAAUGCUAUUACUGUGUUCUGAUUCUGUGAUUUGGGGCUUCUUACAUAACUUCCCCAUGCUUCACAAUUCUAAUGUAUAAAAUUGAGGUAAUGACCAUCACACAGAGCUAGCAUAAUGGUCAAAUGGUAUAAAAAGCAAAGCCCUUGGCAUGACAGCCACACACCAGCUCAAUAAUAUCAACUACAGUAGUCUAACUACUGCAACUACUAACACAACAAGACAAUAAUCUAUGGAAUCAGAAAGCACUUUAUAAGCAUGUGUCAUUUGUUGCCAUGGGCAGGGUCAAAGCUGUUAGUUGUUGUCACUGUGUCAACAACCCAGCACCUGGUUUCUUGGUAGUGGAUCUGCGGCACCUUAUUUGUGUAGUUUGUACAGAACAUUAAACUACGGAAAAUUUGAAAGCUGCUGUCUCUUUGUUUCCAUUGGCCAGUGCAGAGUGUGACACACCCUGGCUCUUAAAUGACCAAGCUUUCCUGGAUGUUUUCCUCUUACAUUAAAGAAAAGACUACAAAUACCCUGGAUGGAGAAUGUACUUCACAGCUAGUCUGAUGCUCCAUGUCAUAAUCCUCAAUGAUACUCUAAUUUUACACAGACCCCUCUGUGCAUAAGAAUGAGUUGUAGGGUACAAAUGACCAAGAAGUGGAUGACAUGGAAGUCUGAUCUGCUGUGUUGUUAAGACCUCAGGGCUUGUUAGACUGGUACUUGUAUUGACACUAUUCCUGACUACCCAGUAAUGAAAUAACAAUCUCCCUUUCUAAACAGGGGAGCAUGCUUUAUCCACUCUGAUAUUAAACAUUCAGCAGAAUUGAUCCCACCCUAGCUGCUUACUAGAAAGUAUACCUGGCCAGCCAGAGAGUUGCUUUCAGUAGUCCAAGGGACUGUAUGUCAGACUUGGGACUUAGGUCCUUUGUGUUUUAUUUUAGAAGACCACUGACAUGCAGAAAGCACCAGGGCACUUUCUGAGAAUGAGACAGACUCAGUGGGAGGCAGAGGAGAGAGACGUGAUAAGAAUCUGAAUACACUCAAAGAUAGUAUUGAAGACACUCAGAAACAAUGUCUGCCUUAAUACUUCACACACAUUAGAUGCUAAAUCAACAGUAAAUGUCAACACCAUAAAAUAUGAGCAGAAGGAAAAUUAAUAGCAUUCAGUGUGCUGUACACAUGAAGUUGACUACAAGGAACUUGAGG